rnacentral:rRNA from 1 species
UACAGAGGUCCCGAGCGUUGUUCGGAUUCACUGGGCGUAAAGGGUGCGUAGGUGGCGGGGUAAGUUUGAUGUGAAAUCUCCGGGCUUAACCCGGAAACUGCAUUGAAUACUAUUCUGCUGGAGGUUUGGAGGGGGGACUGGAAUUCUCGGUGUAGCAGUGAAAUGCGUAGAUAUCGAGAGGAACACCAGUGGCGAAGGCGAGUCCCUGGACAACACCUGACACUGAGGCACGAAAGCUAGGGGAGCAAACAGG